UGUCCGGAAUUAUUGGGCGUAAAGAGCUCGUAGGCGGUUUGUCGCGUCUGCUGUGAAAGCCCGGGGCUCAACCCCGGGUCUGCAGUGGGUACGGGCAGACUAGAGUGCAGUAGGGGAGACUGGAAUUCCUGGUGUAGCGGUGAAAUGCGCAGAUAUCAGGAGGAACACCGAUGGCGAAGGCAGGUCUCUGGGCUGUAACUGACGCUGAGGAGCGAAAGCAUGGGGAGCGAACAGGAUUAGAUACCCUGGUAGUCCAUGCCGUAAACGUUGGGCACUAGGUGUGGGGGACAUUCCACGUUUUCCGCGCCGUAGCUAACGCAUUAAGUGCCCCGCCUGGGGAGUACGGCCGCAAGGCUAAAACUCAAAGGAAUUGACGGGGGCCCGCACAAGCGGCGGAGCAUGCGGAUUAAUUCGAUGCAACGCGAAGAACCUUACCAAGGCUUGACAUGGACCGGACCGCCGCAGAAAUGCGGUUUCCCUUCGGGGCCGGUUUACAGGUGGUGCAUGGUUGUCGUCAGCUCGUGUCGUGAGAUGUUGGGUUAAGUCCCGCAACGAGCGCAACCCUCGUUCUAUGUUGCCAGCGCGUUAUGGCGGGGACUCAUAGGAGACUGCCGGGGUCAACUCGGAGGAAGGUGGGGACGACGUCAAAUCAUCAUGCCCCUUAUGUCUUGGGCUUCACGCAUGCUACAAUGGCCGGUACAAAGGGUUGCGAUACUGUGAGGUGGAGCUAAUCCCAAAAAGCCGGUCUCAGUUCGGAUUGAGGUCUGCAACUCGACCUCAUGAAGUCGGAGUCGCUAGUAAUCGCAGAUCAGCAACGCUGCGGUGAAUACGUUCCCGGGCCUUGUACACACCGCCCGUCAAGUCACGAAAGUUGGUAACACCCGAAGCCGGUGG
rnacentral:rRNA from 1 species